CUGGGAAGGAUCUGGGUGCACUGUAGACACUAAGCCUGUCCUUUUGUCCUGCCAGGCAAUGUGGUGAGUUCCCCAGCAAGUCCAUCACCCCCAGGCGAGUGAUUCCCUCCUUCACCCUCAGAAACCCAAGCAUGGGGAGUGGGUGUGCUGUGCUGUCUUCCCCAGAGCAUGGGGACAAGCAGGAGCUUUACAGGGCAGGAGCUGUUACAGCUGCACAGGCAUGUCCUGCUCCCUGCCUCUCCCCAUCACACCCCGCUGCCCUCACACUCUCUCUUUCCCAGCUCCCCAUGCCCGGAUCCCGCACACCCUCCCCACAGGCACGGUGCUGGCAGUAGUGGCCGUCGGCGUUGUCCUCCUGUCUGCAGGCAGCUGGUUUGCCAUCAGGAAAGGCAGGAGCACGUUGACAGCCCGCAGAUGGAAACCACUGACAACGGCAAAGUCACAUACUCCACCAUUGCCCAUGUUCGACGGGACAGGGUGAGUCGUGGCACAGCUGUGCACAGCUCCUUUCUGCACUCCUGCAGCCUGGUGCCCGCACAUUAUGCAGGGCUCACAGUCAGCAGCUGAAGUAACAGGGUUUCAUUUCUCCCUAAAGCCUCCUCCCAUGCAGCAGAUGAGCGACACCACAACGUAUGCCACGGUGACCCGCACCCAGACCCGAUAGCGCUGCCACAGGGCAAGGGCAAAGGAGCUUUGCCCAUGUUUGCCUUCAC
rnacentral:lncRNA from 1 species